GAUGAACGCUGGCGGCGUCCCUAAUACAUGCAAGUCGAGCGAACAGACGAGGAGCUUGCUCCUCUGACGUUAGCGGCGGACGGGUGAGUAACACGUGGAUAACCUACCUAUAAGACUGGGAUAACUUCGGGAAACCGGAGCUAAUACCGGAUAAUAUAUUGAACCGCAUGGUUCAAUAGUGAAAGACGGUUUUGCUGUCACUUAUAGAUGGAUCCGCGCCGCAUUAGCUAGUUGGUAAGGUAACGGCUUACCAAGGCGACGAUGCGUAGCCGACCUGAGAGGGUGAUCGGCCACACUGGAACUGAGACACGGUCCAGACUCCUACGGGAGGCAGCAGUAGGGAAUCUUCCGCAAUGGGCGAAAGCUUGACGGAGCAACGCCGCGUGAGUGAUGAAGGUCUUCGGAUCGUAAAACUCUGUUAUUAGGGAAGAACAAAUGUGUAAGUAACUAUGCACGUCUUGACGGUACCUAAUCAGAAAGCCACGGCUAACUACGUG
rnacentral:rRNA from 1 species